GACACUUCCUGUCUGCGCCCCUUUUUAGAUCAAACAGUAGAAAUGCGGAGGGGAAUUUUUUUAUUCCCCUCAAAGACAGACAGAAAGAAAGCGAGAGAGGCAUGUUUGAAACUGGAUUCAUGGCUUGUGCUGCUAUAGGUGCCAGUGUGGUAUUUACACAAUUGUUGCCACGGCAACAACUCAGCAGGUGAUGGUGUUAUAGCAGCGGAGAAGUGUGCUUAAGCUGCCAAGUGAGCUCAUAUACUGGCCCCAAACAACCCUGACUGCUAGUCUCACUUAAUGAUCAUUAGUGUGUUCAUUAAGUUUGUUUUCUUUGGGCUGGAUUAAAGCUAAAUGCCAGCCAUUUUAAUAAUUCACACACUGAUGUCAGACGAUGAUUAUCAGUCAAGGUCAAUUUUUGUGCUUAUCUCAAAGGAUCACAUGUUUGUUUGUAGGCUGUCGUAAGUCGUUUGGCUUUUAAAAUCAUGCUCGAAGAAUGCGAAGAUGUCUGGUAAACUUAAAAAAGGCUGUAUUUCUUACAUUGCAUAAUCUGAGCAGCCAGUUUCACUGAGUCCUAAAAGGUAUAGUUGAAAAUAUUUUUUGCAAAUUUCAUUUUUCUGUUCUUGCCUUAUUGAUACAUUUCUAAAUAUUUUCUAGUAAAUUCAUUCAGAUAGGACCUGAGGUUUCUUCCCUUUCCCCCUGUGUUUCUGGGAAAGGGGAGUUUUUCCUCAUCCAAACCGGGGGUCUAAACGAUAAAAGAUGCCACAUGCUGUAAAGAAUGUAAAGCACUUUGAGGCAAAUUUGUGAUUUUGGCCUGUAAAAACAAAAUUUUCUAGACACGAUCAUGGCCGCGGACACUGAGGUCAUGUCCUCAGUACUGUUUCUGGGAAUUUGAAGAUUUUAGCAUUAUGUUUACAUUGUACAAUUACAAAAAUUAUAUAUAUAUAUAUUUUUUUUUUUCAGAUGUAUUUUUCAAAAAAAAAAAUUAGGCAAAAAUAGGUACUACCAUUUUUCCUUCCAGUAGUACUGACAAGUCUUUGAAACAGUAUUCAGACCAUUAUGUAGUGAGUUUUUCUAAGUGUGGUGUGUAGUCAAACACUCAGUAUUUAUAAAAUCAUUGCUAUGGCCCUGGAAAUAAUUUUACUGUUUUCUGUCAGAUUUCUUUCCCUUACACUUAUGACUCAACAACAGACAAAAAUAACUUACUGUAAUAAGAUGGAGUUGUGUCUUUGCCGUGUAGUCUUGUUCAACUGCCACGGAUUGAACAACAUCAUUACAGUAAUAUUAACAUCUUAAAUAGACCGUGUGCACUACAUAUGUUUAGUUAAAACUACUAAAGUAGGUGUUUAAAUAAGUGUGAGUGUUAAUGGCCUCCCCCCGUGCAGUUAUGUAUCUUUAUGAUAAAAUAAUUGCCUGCCACAUUUCUAAUGGUUAUAACUCUGCUCAGCAUUCAGCUGUGAAAACAAAUUCAAAUGAAAUUGUUACAGUGUCUCAAGUGGCACAUGCUUAUGGUGUAUUAGAUUGAGCCUCAUUUAAUUACACAAGAAGUUAAUCACGCAUGCCCUUAGCAAUGGAGCUACUGGAAGGAUUGCUAAAUUCUGGGUAAUGUCAUGGGUAAAAUCUGCAUGUAAUUAAAGAAAAUUGAUGUUUCUAUUUUUCCCCUUUUCAUGACUUCUUCAGAUGUGUCUGUACAUAGGAAGUUAAUUGUGUUCACGACUAAUAAAGAUUUUUAUGUAAAGAGGAGCUGAUUUCUAUGUCACUACACAUCUCUAACUAACAAAUCACACCGGUAAUCCGAUCACUUUCCUAAUACUGACUGUUAACACAAACAAGUGUUAAUCACCAGCCAAUCAGAAUGGAUUUUAAUCAGAGGAAUGGUGGAAGAAAGACGGAGGAGCUGCUAUCCAUUUGAGCUUACACUUCAGCAAGCACAGCAUGGUUCCAUAACUAGCUAGCUAGUUUUCCUGGACUCUUGGCCAACACCAGUGGAGCUAUGCUGAUGGACAGAGAGGCACACACGCAGCAGAGCUGUUUACAGCCGUCUUAAAGAUCAACCAGCUGCUGAGAGGCCUCCAUGUUCAGUACUUGACCUACAACAACACCACUAAAAUGUUUAAAACACAUUGGAGUUUAGUCACUGAUGAAUUAUUCUCAGAUCAAUCAGUCGAUAACCCACAACCUUGGGCGUCGCAUGAUAUGCUUACAAUUUAUAUGAAUGACAUAUUAAUAUAUAUUUUUAAAACUUUUAACAGGAGAAAUUAAAUAGAAAAUAUAUGAUCAUUUCUAUCUAUUAUAUAGCUGAUGCUGCUUAUGUGUUUGUUCGUUUGUAUAACAAAAGAUUUUAUACUUUAAUUACAUUUCUAAUUGCUGGGGUAAUGGGAAUUUUCAGAUUUAAAUCUAGUUCACAGGGCAGAAGAGGUUUCUGCAUUAAAAUAAGAGGCCCAAUAUUCUGAAACUAUUUGUGUAUUUUGUAUAAGAAAUGGGUGGCUGGUUUUGGUAAUAAGUUGCUCCUCUGACAUGAUACAACUUGCAACUGUGCGAAAUGUACACAAUAGAAAAAAAAAAUAGGUGAUGGUGAAUUUAAUAAAAAGAAA